AAGUUGACCAUUUGCCUUGAAGAAACCGCGUUAAACCGUCUCAAACGCGUCAUAAGAUCUCGCAACUGUCAGAAAAUCUCUGUAUUUGCUUGCUUCAGCCCCAUUACAUGCCCAAAUCAUGUUCGAAAUUUGAAAUUUGAAUAGCGCUGAUCUUUAGUCGAAUAUUAUUUGAUUUCCAAACCUCUCUCUUUUCACAAUUUGCAAUUUCUUCAUUCUCUCUCUCACUUUCUUCAUUCUCUUUCUCGGUGAAAGUGAAACCCAGUUGCGUUUGAGCUCACUAACGAAUUCAAAAUCAGCGAAACCCUAAAUCCACCCACCCACUCUCUCAUUCUGAUCGAUCGAUUUUCAAUUGAUCGCCUUUUCACUUUCCUCAAUUUAUUUCUUUCUUUUCUGACAUUGUUUCCGUGAAUUUGAAGAGUUGUGUUCUCUGUAAUUGAUUCUGGGAAUGAAGUAGAAAAUGGAAGGUGAUUUUCAGUUUGGGUCGAAUUCAAAUUGUUUGGAUAUUCUCUCUGAGGUUGCAGUUGUUGUCAAAAAUUGGGAGGAAGAGGAUGUUGAGAAGGCCAUGGCCAUGGCUGUGAGAAGCCGCUGUAACCCACUUCAGGGAUUUGGGUUUGAUGGGUAUGUGGUUUCUGACAAAGCCACGAUCAAGAUAACGAAUAGGGUUAGGGUUUCAUCAUCAUCAUCAUCAUCUGCCUUGGAUAUGUUGCUUCAAGUUACAAGCAAUGAAUUGAUGGAGUUGAAAAAAGCCAACACCUUCGGUGGCAUAUGCAUACCUAAGAAGAAAAGAACAAGUCUGAGAAGGGGGAGGACGGUGCUUACUUCCUUUCCAUGCUCUUCUCAUGAUUCCAUCCCACUACAUCAGAUACCAAGGAAGAAAAGGUCCAAUCUGAGGAGGGGGAGGACAAUACAUAACUUCCUUUCCAUGCACUUCUUGCAAGAAUUAGACAGGGUUUUGGCAGAGAAGGGUACUGUUGACUUCACACUCUUCCCACUCAACGACAUUUGCAUACCCAAGAAGAAAGCUGCCAAAGUGAAUCCAAUGAAGCUCUGCUCAUUCCGGCUUAAUUCCCCUGCCUGUUCAAGUACUUCUUGCAUCAGCCAGGACUGUUAGUGCACUGCAUACAUAUAAGGAGAUUGAAUUGUAUGUUAUCUCUUCAAUGGAAUGAAUCUUCAAUGGGGUUCUGUGCAUACUCAAAUUGAGGCAAGUUUUUCUCUUUUGCUUUCUCUUCGCAUGCUAUUCUGUCUGCCUGUCCAUUUUUAUAUCCUUUUCCUCAUUAAUCCAUGCUUCAUAUUUGGAAUUGAUUUUUUUUUAAUUAGAUUAUGCAUACGUUAAUUUCUAAUUAUUUGGUUGGCUAAUAUCAUCAUUCUACUUAUGGAGGAGAAUAGAAGAGCUAUCUUCUUUAUUGUCUCAUAAUUUUUUAAUCUGUGGCUAAUAUUUGUGGUUGGCACCUAUUGUCCAUUUUUGUUAUUGUGCCCCACAUGGCUUUCAUGUUUUUUUGGGUGAAGUAAAAACAACUAAGCAAUGCAAAAAUCUCUAUUUUGGUUAACUGGGGUAUAAUUUUGACAAACAUGAUACAAUAUUCAUGAAGGAUCAACUUUUGACUCUUGGAUCAUCUAGUUUAAUACUUUCAGCUAGAUUGGAUGAUUUGUUUGGUGAUUCUGUAAAACUUAGACUUAUUUCUGAAUAUCUUUGUCACAGUGUGUUAGUUCUCUUUCGAUGGAGCUGUCCCUUUCUAUGGAAUUAGGCUCAGAAAAUCUGUAUAAUUAAGCUCAUCACUAGUAUAGAAAGUGGUGAAUUUGUAUAAUUCACCACACUCUGUGAAUUUGUACAAUUAUGCUCAUUACUGGUAUAGAACUGUCCCUCCACUCAGAAAAUUUGUAUAUUUAGGCUCCAGAAUAGUAUGCGGUGAAUUUCAACUCUUUCACUAACCAAUCUUCAACUUUCCUUUGAUUAUUACUUGAAGAACUGGAUUAAUUGUCAUAUCUGAAAGUGCAGCUUGUCCUUUGUAAUUCUUGAGCAAUUCUUCUCUGUGGUUCUGAUGUCUACUUACUUUCUUGAGCAAUGAGGAAGAAAAAGGAGCCAACCAGUUCACUGCCUCAGUGAAGAGGUCGUUCAGAAAAUGCAAAUGAGAAUGAAGCACCAGUGGAGAGCAUUGCUUGUAAUUGUGGUAAGAUUCUUAUAAACAACCAAAACUAAUCUCGAAAUUCAAAAUUAUGUGGUUGAAGAUAAGAUAAUUUUUUAGCUCACAAUCAGGCAUAUCACAUGGACCUCUAGUUGAAUUCUUAUAGCAACCAAUAGUGACAAGCCUAAGCUCAUGAGUCUAUUUGGAGAGCAAUGGACAACAGAGUAAUGAGGAUGAAACGUCUAUUGGUGCAGUGCAUAGCAUAUUUCUUGACCUUUUGACAAUUUGAUUUCUAAGCAGCAUGUCCUGCUCUCUCUCUCUCUCUCCUUCAUUUAUUUUUCUCCCCAACCUUCUCAGUUUCAUCUCACUUUUUGAGGCUAUCAAAUAUCAGUUCUGUGCUUGCUGCAACAUUUCUGUACAUGUACUAUGUUCGCUGCAUUUGAAGUCUUGUUUACCUGAUUGUUCUUGUUGCUAGGUCUCUCUUUAUCCCCCUCCCCCUUUCCUCUUUUUCUGAUCUUCUCGCUUUCAUCUCAGUUUUUUAGGCUUUCAGGUAUGGGUUGUGUGCUUGGUGCAGGAUUUCUGUACAUGUACUAUGCUCACUUUAAAAGGGAAGUUUCUCUAGAACUUAAUAUUGAUCUAUAUUUUGCUAUGAAAUGCAAAUCACACUUAUGCAUCCAAAUCUUUCAAGGUGGCUAAGAAUUUUAAAUAAGUCUUGGAUGGUGUUGCAGGUUUACGUUGUUUUUCUGCUGAUCAUAUGAAUUAUCUUGAUUGAUGAUUAUGUAUGGACAACUUGUUUGUCUUUCCUUGUAUGUUUAUUAAACUUUAAGCUCUCUUGUAUGAAAAAAGAGGUCGGUGUAUUCUUACUCUUGUUAGGUGAUAUCAUUGCUUCCUUACUCUUGUUUUGGAUUUCAUCUCAAUAGUAAAUUUAUAAUUGAAAUUAUUUCCUUUGAAAGGUUAUAUUCGACACAUGAUUGUUAUUUUUUUUUUGGACUCCUGAACAAUGUUGUUUGAAAGAUUUUGCAGGGUUUGCAACAAAUUGAAUUUAUUCUUUGUUUACCAAAAGAAAACAAGGUUAGAAAGAGGGGUGAAAAAAGGCGUGAUGAUCCUAAAUGGCUCAACUUCACAUGCCCCAUUCCCUCUAUUCUGAAAUUACAGCUAAAUUCUGAUACUUUGUUGUAAGAAAA